GACGAACGCUGGCGGCGUGCUUAACACAUGCAAGUCGAACGGAAAGGCCUGCUUUCCCUUGUGGAUUGCGGGUACUCGAGUGGCGAACGGGUGAGUAACACGUGAGUGAUCUGCCCCCAACUUGGGUAUAAGCCUGGGAAACUGGGUCUAAUUCCCGAUAGGACUGCAGGGUGGUGCCUGUGGUGGAAAACGAUUUUCUAGUGGUUGGGGAUGAGCUCGCGGCCUAUCAGCUUGUUGGUGGGGUAAUGGCCUACCAAGGCGGCGACGGGUAGCCGGCCUGAGAGGGUGGACGGCCACAUUGGGACUGAGAUACGGCCCAGACUCCUACGGGAGGCAGCAGUGGGGAAUAUUGCACCAUGGGCGGAAGCCUGAUGCAGCGACGCCGCGUGGGGGAUGACGGCCUUCGGGUUGUAAACUCCUUUCGACCGCGAGGAAGCCACCUGGUUGGAAGGGUGGUGACGGUAGUGGGAGAAGAAGCACCGGCUAACUACGUG
rnacentral:rRNA from 1 species